rnacentral:lncRNA from 1 species
GUUUCCAGACUCCGCUCCUGUAUAGUUGUUAAGGGAGAACUUUCUAGUCUUGACCUGUACUAAUUUUUAAUAUAAUUUAUUUGAAGGAGAUUUGCAUGCAAACCUUGCUGCUUCUUCUUUUUUUUUUUUUCUUUUUUUUUUUUUUCCUGAGUUGCAGUAAUUUUUGAAAGAACAGUUUGGCAUACUAUUGAAUACCAUUUAGAAGACUAUUCAUUGGAAUUCAAAGCAUAUCUGAAUUUUGGAAGUCUCCUCACUAGUCCAACAGAUGUGAAUUUCUGUCUGGCUAAUAUCUGUGGCUGAUAGCUCCUGUCAAGCAUCCCUCAAAAGGGUUUAGGGGGAAUGCUGGUUGCUGCUCAUGUCUGCACAUCCAAC